rnacentral:rRNA from 1 species
AACGAACGCUGGCGGCGUGCUUAACACAUGCAAGUCGAACGGUAACUUCUUUCCUGGUCGUGCAAGUGGCCAUCAGGUGAGUGACCCUUCCCUUACCUUCCCUUUACUUCCCCAUACCAGCUGCUAACACCUGCUAAUGUCUUCUAUCCAACUGGUUCUCGUGUUCUGGUGUGCACGCGUUCGGCGGUCAGGUUUGGGCUCGCAGCAUCUCAGCGUGUUGGUGAGGUAAUCUGUCAUCAAGGCGUCGACGGGUAGCCGGCCUGAGAGGGCGACCGGCCACACGGGGACUGAGAUACGGCCCAGACUCCUACGGGAGGCAGCAGUGGGGAAUAUUGCACAAUGGGCGCAAGCCUGAUGCAGCAACGCCGCGUGCGGGAUGACGGCCUUCGGGUUGUAAACCGCUUUCAGUAGGGACGAAGCCACAAGUGACGGUACCUACAGAAGAAGGACCGGCUAACUACGUG